CCUACGGGAGGCAGCAGUGGGGAAUUUUGGACAAUGGGCGAAAGCCUGAUCCAGCCAUGCCGCGUGCAGGAUGAAGGCCUUCGGGUUGUAAACUGCUUUUGUACGGAACGAAAAGGUCUUUUCUAAUAAAGAAGGCUCAUGACGGUACCGUAAGAAUAAGCACCGGCUAACUACGUGCCAGCAGCCGCGGUAAUACGUAGGGUGCAAGCGUUAAUCGGAAUUACUGGGCGUAAAGCGUGCGCAGGCGGUUAUAUAAGACAGUUGUGAAAUCCCCGGGCUCAACCUGGGAACUGCAUCUGUGACUGUAUAGCUAGAGUACGGUAGAGGGGGAUGGAAUUCCGCGUGUAGCAGUGAAAUGCGUAGAUAUGCGGAGGAACACCGAUGGCGAAGGCAAUCCCCUGGACCUGUACUGACGCUCAUGCACGAAAGCGUGGGGAGCAAACAGGAUUAGAUACCCUGGUAGUCCACGCCCUAAACGAUGUCAACUGGUUGUUGGGUCUUCACUGACUCAGUAACGAAGCUAACGCGUGAAGUUGACCGCCUGGGGAGUCGGCCGCAAGGUUGAAACUCAAAUGAAAUUGACCGGNNGAGAGNGCCGACGGACGACGACGAGGGAGGAGG
rnacentral:rRNA from 1 species